AUCCUUUCAUCGUCCAUUCUACUUGCCCUAUUGAUAAUUCUUAUCAUUUUUCACCAGCCAUGGUGUUUGUAACUUGCAGCCCUCUACUUUGUUUAUUUAUAGUUGGAAAUUGUGAGGGCGAGCUUUGGCGCAACAAAAAGGUUGCUCCUUUGUGACCGAAAGGUCACGGGUUCGAGUCAUGGAAACAGUCUCUUUGCAAAGCAAGGGCCUGUCAGCUGCCUGCUUUUGCUAAUUUGAGCCAACUGAAUGCUAUUCUUGGUGGGUAGAGUUCCUCCAGAGAUCACCUGUUCUGGAAUAUCUUGUCUUAGACUUUGAUGUCUUCAGUAGUUGUGGUUUUGAAUCUGAACUGGUACGAGAAUACCCACAUUUUCAAUUCAAGUUGCCAAAGGUUCGAUGGAAUCCGCCAGAUUUUGUGCCUAGUUGUUUGCUGACGCACCUCAAGACUAUCUGUAUAACAAGAUUAAUGGGAAGGCCGCAUGAGAUGGAAGUGGCAAAGUUUUUGCUAGAAAAUGGAAAGGUUUUGAAAAGAAUGACAAUACAUACCUGUGGUGGUCUUUUGUGUACAAGGAAGGAAUUAUACAAGAAGUUUUUGAUGUUUCAUCGGGGUUCGAACAAAUGCGAGGUUGAAUUUCCCUAAGAUGUAGAAUUUUCUCAUUCACAAGGAUCGAUCUUUGAAGUUCG
rnacentral:sRNA from 1 species